rnacentral:rRNA from 1 species
GACGAACGCUGGCGGCGUGCCUAAUACAUGCAAGUAGAACGCUGAAGAGAGGAGCUUGCUCUUCUUGGAUGAGUUGCGAACGGGUGAGUAACGCGUAGGUAACCUGCCUUGUAGCGGGGGAUAACUAUUGGAAACGAUAGCUAAUACCGCAUAACAAUGGAUGACUCAUGUCAUUUAUUUGAAAGGGGCAAAUGCUCCACUACAAGAUGGACCUGCGUUGUAUUAGCUAGUAGGUGAGGUAACGGCUCACCUAGGCGACGAUACAUAGCCGACCUGAGAGGGUGAUCGGCCACACUGGGACUGAGACACGGCCCAGACUCCUACGGGAGGCAGCAGUAGGGAAUCUUCGGCAAUGGGGGCAACCCUGACCGAGCAACGCCGCGUGAGUGAAGAAGGUUUUCGGAUCGUAAAGCUCUGUUGUAAGUCAAGAACGAGUGUGAGAGUGGAAAGUUCACACUGUGACGGUAGCUUACCAGAAAGGGACGGCUAACUACGUGCCAGCAGCCGCGGUAAUACGUAGGUCCCGAGCAUUGUCCGGAUUUAUUGGGCGUAAAGCGAGCGCAGGCGGUUUGAUAAGUCUGAAGUUAAAGGCUGUGGCUCAACCAUAGUUCGCUUUGGAAACUGUCAAACUUGAGUGCAGAAGGGGAGAGUGGAAUUCCAUGUGUAGCGGUGAAAUGCGUAGAUAUAUGGAGGAACACCGGUGGCGAAAGCGGCUCUCUGGUCUGUAACUGACGCUGAGGCUCGAAAGCGUGGGGAGCGAACAGG